rnacentral:rRNA from 1 species
AGCGAACGCUGGCGGCAGGCCUAACACAUGCAAGUCGAACGAACUCUUCGGAGUUAGUGGCGGACGGGUGAGUAACACGUGGGAACGUGCCUUUUGGUUCGGAAUAACUCAGGGAAACUUGUUCUAAUACCGAAUGUGCCCUUCGGGGGAAAGAUUUAUCGCCAUUAGAGCGGCCCGCGUCUGAUUAGCUAGUUGGUGAGGUAACGGCUCACCAAGGCGACGAUCAGUAGCUGGUCUGAGAGGAUGACCAGCCACACUGGGACUGAGACACGGCCCAGACUCCUACGGGAGGCAGCAGUGGGGAAUCUUGCGCAAUGGGCGAAAGCCUGACGCAGCCAUGCCGCGUGAAUGAUGAAGGUCUUAGGAUUGUAAAAUUCUUUCACCGGGGACGAUAAUGACGGUACCCGGAGAAGAAGCCCCGGCUAACUUCGUG